UGGGGAAUUUUGGACAAUGGGCGCAAGCCUGAUCCAGCCAUGCCGCGUGUGUGAAGAAGGCCUUCGGGUUGUAAAGCACUUUCGGACGGAACGAAAUCGCGCGAGUUAAUAGCCCGCGUGGAUGACGGUACCGUAAGAAGAAGCACCGGCUAACUACGUGCCAGCAGCCGCGGUAAUACGUAGGGUGCGAGCGUUAAUCGGAAUUACUGGGCGUAAAGCGUGCGCAGGCGGUUGUGCAAGACAGGUGUGAAAUCCCCGGGCUUAACCUGGGAACUGCACUUGUGACUGCACGGCUAGAGUACGGUAGAGGGGGAUGGAAUUCCGCGUGUAGCAGUGAAAUGCGUAGAUAUGCGGAGGAACACCAAUGGCGAAGGCAAUCCCCUGGACCUGUACUGACGCUCAUGCACGAAAGCGUGGGGAGCAAACAGGAUUAGAUACCCUGGUAGUCCACGCCCUAAACGAUGUCAACUGGUUGUUGGACGGCUUGCUGUUCAGUAACGAAGCUAACGCGUGAAGUUGACCGCCUGGGGAGUACGGCCGCAAGGUUG
rnacentral:rRNA from 1 species